GGUUAAGUGAAUAAGGGCGCACGGUGGAUGCCUUGGCACUAGGAGCCGAUGAAGGACGGGACUAACACCGAUAUGCUUUGGGGAGCUGUACGUAAGCUAUGAUCCAGAGAUUUCCGAAUGGGGGAACCCAGCAUCUUUAAUAGGAUGUUACGAUUGUGUGAAUACAUAGCACAUUCGAGGUAGACGCAGAGAACUGAAACAUCUAAGUACCUGCAGGAAGAGAAAGAAAAUUCGAUUCCCUGAGUAGCGGCGAGCGAAACGGGAAAAGCCCAAACCAACAAGCUUGCUUGUUGGGGUUGUAGGACUCCAAUAUGGUAGUUCUUUCAGAUAGUCGAAUGACUUGGAAAAGUCAGUCAAAGAGGGUAAAAACCCCGUAGACGAAAUGUGGAAGACACCUAGGAGGAUCCUGAGUACGGCGGAACACGAGAAAUUCCGU
rnacentral:rRNA from 1 species